GGUUGUGCUGUUCACUCCUCUAAUCCCAGUGCUUACUAGAGUUCAUGGAAUAUACUAGAAGCUAAUAUAAUUUGGUGAAUAAGGGAAAAACUAAUUUACAGUUGAUGGUUGCCUUUUAAGUUUUGGCAAGCUAACUGCAUUAACGUUUUCCUUUUUGUUUAAAGUCAAAAUCAUUAGAUUCUUAAGUGACAAGUACUAUGUUUAAAAGAUACUCAUUUAAAAAGAGGUUCUUGUGUUUGCAAUAUUUUACAGUUAAUUCAGUGAGAAUUUUGCAUUUGUUUUGUUAGGGCCCUUGUGCUAAGAGCUCAGGGCAUUGAAGAAUGUGAUUUGUGAGGUCAGAAAAGUACAUUAGGUUAAUUAUGCUACUCUGUUGCCAGACAAUCUCUUGGAAUUUGCUGGUAUGCAGUGAUUAAAACAGCAUCAUUUAAAAUGGUUAGACCUGUUAAAAUAUGCAGAUUUUACUUGUUUACAUGUCAUGUCCCUUUUUGAGGUUAUUGAUGAUAAUAGGAAAGAAAUUUGGGAUAUUUUCAAUAUUAUGAAAAUUUAUCAGAAUAAAAUUAUGGAUCUCUGUUAAUUAUUUAUCCUCUUAUGAUAUAAGCUCCAUAAAGUAGAAUUUUAAUCUAUUUGGCCAAUGAUAUAGUCCAACAUCUAGAACAAUGUCUGUCAUGUGAAAACUAUAUAGAUAAAUAGUACUUAAGAGGAGUUCCCGUCGUGGUGCAGCGGAAAUGAAUCUGACUAGGAACCAUGAGAUUGCUGGCUGGAUCCCUGGCUUUGCUCAGUGGGUUAAGAAUCUGGCAUUGCUGUGAGCUGUGGUGUAGGUUGUAGAUGCGGCUCGGAUCCAGUGUUGCUGUGGCUUUGGCGUCGGCCGACGCCAAUAGCUCUGAUUAGACCCCUAGCCUGAGAACCUCCAUAUGCCACAGGUAUGGCCCUAAAAAAGACAGAGAAGACAAAAAAAAAAAAAAAAAAUUAGUACUUAAGAAAUAUUUAUUGAAUGAAACAAAACGUAAGCUUACAUUCUGGGUUCACACUUAUUUUAUAUUUUACUUGUAGAUAUUAUUCUAUUCCUACCACCAGGAUGUAGGCUUUAUGAAGGCAAGAAUUUUUGGUUUGUUUUGUUUACUGCUGUAUCCCCAGGACCUAGAACAGUGUCUGGAAUUCAAUAAAUAUUAUUGAAUUAAUGAAAUAAUAAUUAGA
rnacentral:lncRNA from 1 species